AUGGAGGAGGAGCUGACGCUGGUGGGGUACUGGUCGAGCCCGUUCGCGUUGCGCGCGCGCUUCGCCCUCAACCUCAAGGGCCUCCCCUACGCGUACGUGGAGGAGGUGGGCCUCUUCGACGGCAAGAGCCCGCUCCUCCUCGCCUCCAACCCCGUGCACAAGAGGGUGCCGGUGCUCAUCCACAACGGCAAGCCCGUCCCCGAGUCGCAGCUCAUCGUGCAGUACGUCGACGAGGCUUUCCCGGCCAGCUCCCCGCGCCUCCUCCCUCCCGACCCGCACGAGCGCGCCGUCGCUCGCUUCUGGGCCUCCUACGUCGACGGCGAGCUGCUCAGCGCGUGGCUGCCCGUCUACGGCGGACGCACCGGCGAGGAGAGGGCAGAGGCGGCGGGGCGGGUCGGCGCCGCCCUGGAGACGCUGGAGCGAGCGUUCGGGGAGUGCUCCAAGGGGAAGGGCUUCUUCGGCGGGGACACGGUGGGGCUCGUGGACGUCGUGCUCGGCGGCUUCGUCGGGUGGCUGCAGACGUCCGAGGCCAUGUGCGGCGUGAGGCUGCUCGACGCCGCCGCGACGCCGCUGCUGGCGGCCUGGGCGGAGCGGUUUCGCGCGCUCGACGGCGUCAAGGAGGUGAUGCCGGAUGCGCAGAGGCUGCUCGAGUACAACCUGAUGAGGCGAGCUCGCCUCGGGCUGCCGCCGACCUCGCCGCCGCCGCCGCUACAGCACCAAUAG
rnacentral:rRNA from 1 species